rnacentral:rRNA from 1 species
GACGAACGCUGGCGGCGUGCUUAACACAUGCAAGUCGAACGGAAAGGCCCUGCUUUGGUGGGGUGCUCGAGUGGCGAACGGGUGAGUAACACGUGAGUAACCUGCCCUGGACUUUGGGAUAACUUCAGGAAACUGGGGCUAAUACCGGAUAGGAGCUCCUGCUGCAUGGUGGGGGUUGGAAAGUUUCGGCGGUUGGGGAUGGACUCGCGGCUUAUCAGCUUGUUGGUGGGGUAGUGGCUUACCAAGGCUUUGAGGGGUAGCCGGCCGGAGAGGGUGACCGGCCACAUUGGGACUGAGAUACGGCCCAGACUCCUACGGGAGGCAGCAGUGGGGAAUAUUGCACAAUGGGCGGAAGCCUGAUGCAGCAACGCCGCGUGCGGGAUGACGGCCUUCGGGUUGUAAACCGCUUUCGCCUGUGACGAAGCGUGAGUGACGGUAAUGGGUAAAGAAGCACCGGCUAACUACGUG